rnacentral:rRNA from 1 species
UGGUCAAGUUAUUAAGGGUGCAGGGCGGAUGCCUUGGCACUAGGAGCCGAUGAAGGACGUGAUAAGCUGCGAUAAGCUUCGGGGAGUUGCACGUAAACUUUGAUCCGAAGAUUUCCGAAUGAGGAAACUCACUUAGAGUAAUGUCUAAGUAUCAUUAAGUGAAUACAUAGCUUAAUGAGGGGAACUCAGGGAACUGAAACAGCUAAGUACCUGAAGGAAGAGAAAGAAAUUCGAUUCCGUAAGUAGCGGCGAGCGAACGCGGAUUAGCCAAAACCAAUAAAGUUUUCUUUAUUGGGGUUGCGGACAUAUCAUAACGAAGAGGUAUCGUAAUUGAAGAGGUUUGGAAAGACCCACCACAGAAGGUAAUAGUCCUGUAUGUUAAACGAGAAGACUUUAGAUAUGAUCCAGAGUACCACGG